UUCUGAUAUUAUGCUAGUAUAAAAGAAUUUUAGCUCGAUAUAAACAAUAUAUUACAAAAGAACAACUGUCAAAAUGGUAUCAAAGGCCAGCAUCGUGUGCAUCUUUUUCGCUGUUUGUUUCGUGACAUCGGUUCACAUGUUGCCUGCAGCGUCCGAAUGCCGCAAAAGAGCUGCACCUCCGAAAACCAAUAAUGCGAACCAAGUGGCAUCAGAUCUCAAUAUUGAAGUUAUAAGCGUACAGGACGUUUUGGGUUGCGCUGAUAUUCUGACGUAAUAUUUUAGUGAUUUCGGCGUCCCUUAUUUCAAUAAAGGUUUUGGUUUUCUGUGAAGUUAGUGAUGAAUAAAUAAAAAUAUAUUCCAAAAC